rnacentral:tRNA from 1 species
GGUUAUGGCUCAGGGGUAGAGCACUCGCCUCACAUGUGCGGGACCCUGGGUUUGAUCCUCAGCACCA